UCCCUGGUAGCUCAGAUGGUAAAGAAGCAUCUGCUUGCAAUGCGGGAGACACAGGUUCAAUCCCUGGGUCAGGGAA
rnacentral:tRNA from 1 species